rnacentral:lncRNA from 1 species
GGACAUGGCAUGGAACGUGUGUGCGGAAAAGUUCGAACAUCAAGUGACCCUUGAAGCGCUACAACACUUAAAUGCACUCUUUCAGGAGUAUGAGAAAAGAGGAAGACAGCUGUUGGAUAUGGAGACUUUCAAAUGCAUAAUGAAGCAGAGCAUGAGGUUACAGAAUAAAAGUACUGAACAAAUAGAACAACUUUUCAUGAAAAUAGACUAUGAAGCAGUGGGCAGAAUUCAUUGGGAUGGCUUCUGCACAUAUCUGCAGUUAGCAUAUUCAGAGCAAGCUGAUGCUUUGGCUCGACAGAAAGAGGUUUCCUUCCAGCUGCCUGCUGUGCUGCAGGGACUGUCGUACGGGGGACCCGUGCUGCGCAUUCUCUCUGUGCCUGAUGACACCUUAAUCAUGAUCAGAGAAGAUGGAGCCAUUUAUUUCUGGUCCCUGCAGCUGAAGUUGAAAAGAAGAAAGCGAGUUUUUGACAAGCCCAUCAUUCGGAAGCGCCGGUGGGUGACGGAUGCCACCAGCAUGCCACAGUACAACAAACUGAUCCUAGGAACUGGAAACCGCGAAAUCCAGCUGUAUGAGUUCUCUAACUUGGAGCCUUACUGUCAGAUUGGUGGCCUGGAAGCUGUCCCUCUGAAACUGGACUACUGGUACGAGGAUCCUGACAAGUGCCUGAUUCCCUAUGGUGAUGACCAGGCUGAAAAAAAACUUAAAAUGAAGGUAGCCUUAAAGAGUUCAUGUUGCCAUCUAGCAAAGUGAUGAGUUGUGCUCCAGAGGGAAAUAAGUUCAGAAGCAUUGGCUGUGCCUGUCUCACCUAACAUCGCCUCACCAUCCUUCAUCGGCUUUCAGAGUCUUCACGGUUUGGAAUCAGGGAUGAGCAUAAGGGAAGCUACAUUGGCAACAUGGCGACAAAAGCAAGGGAAACUCAGUUCAUCAUCAUCAUAUCACAAAGGCUGUCUCCACGAGCGACUUUCCUUGGGCUUCUUCUUUUGUUGCAUCUAGCCCAGGCUUGUGCACUUGAAGAUCAUUUGAUAAUAUUCAUCAGUGUUAUGUUCAGCAUGCUAACCGGUUUCUUAAGAAGGGCAGUA